GAGUGGUUUCCCUUCUAUGGGAAAAGGUUUUUCUAUAAAAAGGGUUGCGUUAUGUGUUACUUGGAGGCAUAGGAAGAUGAGAAGCUAGAGUUAUUAUAUAGAGCCUAUCCUGCUUCAUUUUUUUCCCUCUGGGGUAUCUCUUUAGUGUGAUUAUUGUGGUCCUCCUUCAUUGCAGAGAAAAGGAAGAAGAAAAGGCUAGGGUUUUCUCAACCCCAAAUCUUGUUUCAGAUGUUCACUCCCACUAAUAAUUACAACACCUAUUGCUUCCCCUUCUCUUCAUCUUCUUCUUCUUACCCUCUUCUUCAUCCUCCAGCUGUUGAAAACAAUGCUUCUUCUUCUUCUUCUGCUGCGAAUGCCACCUUUUACCAUCAUGAUCAACUUUCUCUCCCCUUCAUACCCACUCUAAUCCCAGAACAGUUAACCAAUCUCGCUGCGCCCUCAGACUAUGCUUCUGUGGUCGGGAAACAGCAGAGCAUUGCUCUCGAUUGUAAUGUCGUUUCUGGUAAUUUCAUGACCAAGAAGCCUUCCAAGAAGGACAGGCACAGUAAAAUUUACACAUCUCAGGGGCUCAGAGACCGACGCGUGAGAUUGUCCAUUGAGAUCGCCCGCAAGUUCUUCGAUCUGCAAGACAUGUUAGGGUUCGACAAAGCCAGCAAUACUCUCGACUGGCUCUUCACCAAGUCCAGGAAAGCAAUUCAAGAGCUCGAAGUCACAGCUCGAAGCAAGAAGAAAAGCAACAGGACAACCAACAACACCAACACCAACAUGAGCUUCUCUUCCUCCUCUGAGUGCGAUGAAGUGGUUUCACCUCAGAGGGUGGAUUCCGAUUCCGGCAGGUCGAGGAGGGCAGAGACGGAGAAGGCGAAGAAGGAGUCAAGGGAGAAGGCGAGGGCGAGGGCUAGGGAAAGGACUAAUCACAAGGGAAAGAGCUUAAUGGUGGUGCGUGGUGAUACUAGUGAGGCAACACAAAGAGAAGAUCAGCAUAAUAAGAAGAUUGAGGAGUGUGCUGUGAUCAAAACGAAGGUGAAGCAGCCUUCUAAUCUGAUGAAUUCUAAUCAUCCCCAAAACCACCUCGUGAUCCCUAAUCAUCACAAGGAAGCAAGUUUCACCAACAGCACCACACUCAUAAGUACUUCUACUACCAGUCAUGACUACUCAAUAUUCCCUAAUUCGAUUCCAAAUUGGGACACUAAUGGGCGCUCCAAUUUCUGUACUGUAGCUAACAUGAAUCUGUCCACAGGUAUAUUUUCCAAUUUUAUGAAAAUUGUUUUUGGUUGAUUUUCACUGGGACUGGGGAUUGAAGCUAUUGCAUCCUUCGACCUGUAUUAUUGAGCUGAAGUUUGUCGGUUCUCAUGAACAAAUUUUGUUUUUUUUUGUUUUUAUUGAUUUUGGCUUGAUUUCUUCAGCCUUGGAGACUCUACUGUACUACUAAGCUUAAUUGCUGGUUCAUGAGAUCUUCAAAUCUAUGGGAAGUCUUGGGACGAGUGCAACAAUCAGCGUCAGCACUAAUGUGUUAUUAAUUUUCCAAACUUAUUAUGAUGAUCAGGACUAUGAAUACUCUAUGCUACAGAAUCAAGAAAGAGUCUAGCUAUCUUCUUUUCUUGUGUUCUCCCUACCAGUAUCUUUUCUGUCCCAUAUAUUUAUUCCCUUUCUACAAUUACUAUUUAUUUUUGUAGUCUUUCUUUGUACUGAUUUUUCUCCUGAUGAUUAUCAGCAAAUGGCAUGACAGUUGGCGUACAAGGUUGCUGCGUGUAUCAUUGCUGACCAGUAUUUAAAAGUGUGGUUCACAUUAUGUAAUAUGCCAACUAGUGUAUAUCAGGAACUGUCCCUCCAGCAGCUUUUAAUCUUUAUUUAUAUAACUAUUUGGUUAGUGUUCUA